rfam:Oryza rufipogon genomic scaffold, chr01
AAUAAGUGCAGUUUUAGCACUGUUCAUGUUCAACGUUUGACCGUUCGUCUUAUUUGAAAAACAAUUAUAAUUAGUAUUUUUAUUGUUGUUAGAUGAUAAUACAUGAAUAGUAUUUAUGUGUGACUAAUAUUUUUAAUUUUUUUCAUAAAAUUUUCAAAUACGAAUGGUUAAAAUACUGGACACGAAUAUCUAUGGUUACACUUAUU